AUUGAACGCUGGCGGCAGGCCUAACACAUGCAAGUCGAGCGGAGCGGGGGACGGGUGGGUAAGGACUAGGAAUCUGCCUGCCAGUGGGGGAUGACGUCCGGAAAGAGGCGCUAAUAACUCAUGCUAUCAGAUGAGUCUAGGUGGGAUUAGCUAGUUGGUGGGGUAAAGGCCUACCAAGGCGACGAUCCGUAGCUGGUCUGAGAGGAUGAUCAGUCACACUGGAACUGAGACACGGUCCAGACUCCUACGGGAGGCAGCAGUGGGGAAUAUUGGACAAUGGGCGAAAGCCUGAUCCAGCCAUGCCGCGUGUGUGAAGAAGGCCUUCGGAUUGUAAAGCACUUUCAGUUGGGAGGCGUUACCCACAGAAUAAGCACCGGCUAACUCCGUGCCAGCAGCCGCGGUAAUAC
rnacentral:rRNA from 1 species